AGUUCGAUUCUACCAGAUUGAACGCUGGCGGAUGCUUUACACAUGCAAGUCGAACGGCAGCACGGACUUCGGUCUGGUGGCGAGUGGCGAACGGGUGAGUAAUGAUCGGAACGUGCCCAAGAAGGGGAUAACUACGCGAAAGCGUAGCUAAUACCGCAUACGCCCUUCGGGGGAAAGCGGGGGGACCUUCGGGCCUCUUCGCACUAUUAGAUGUGGCCGAUAUCGGAUUAGCUAGUUGGUGGGUAACGCUCACCAAGGCGACGAUCCGUAGCUGGUUUGAGAGGACGACUAGUCACACUGGGACUGAGACACGGCCCAGACUCCUACGGGAGGCAGCAGUGGGGAAUUUCCGGAUAAUAAAACCCCUGAUCCAGCCAUCCCGCGUGUGCGAUGAAGGCCUUCGGGUUGUAAAGCACUUUGGCAGGAAAGAAACGGCACGGGAUAAUACCCCGUGCAACUGACGGUACCUGCAGAAUAAGCACCGGCUAACUACGUGCCAGCAGCCGCGGUAAUACGUAGGGUGCAAGCUGCUAACGGGAACUUACUUGGCGCAGCGUGCGCAGGCGGUUCGGAAAGAAAGAUGAAAUCCUGAGCUAACUUGGAACUGUAUUUUUAACUACCGAGCUAGAGCAAGUGCUUCAUGGUGGAAUUCCGCGUAGCAGUGAAAUGCGUAGAUAUGCGGAGGAACACCGAUGGCGAAGGCAGCCUCCGAUAACACUGACGCUCAUGCACGAGCGUGGGGAGCAAACAGAUUAGAUACCCUGGUAGUCCACGCCCUAAACGAUGUCAACUAGCUGUUGGGGCCGGGCCUGGUAGCGCAGCUAACGCGUGAAGUUGACCGCCUAGGAGUACGGCUGCAAGAUUAAAACUCAAAGGGAAUUGACGGGGACCCGCACAAGCGGUGGAUGAUGUGGAUUAAUUCGGAUGCAACGCGAAAAACCUUACUCUACCCUUGACAUGUCUGGAAUCCCGAAGAGAUUUGGGAGUGUCGCAAGAGAACCGAACACAGGUGCCGCAUGGCUGUCGUCAGCUCGUGUCGAGAUGCUGGGUUAAGUCCUGCAGGGCUCAGCGCAACCCUUGUCAUUAGUUGCUACGAAAGGGCACUCUAAUGAGACUGCCGGUGACAAACCGGAGGAAGCGGUGGGGAUGACGUCGUUCUCAUGGCCCCCAGGGUAGGGCUUCACACGUCAUACAAUGGUCGGGACAGAGGGUCGCCAACCCGCGAGGGGGAGCCAAUCCUGAAACCCGAUCGUAGUCCUGAUCGCAGUCUGCAACUCGACUGCGUGAAGUCGAAUCGCUAGUAAUCGCGGAUCAUGUCGCGGUGAAUAUGUUCCCGGGUCUUGUACACACCGCCCGUCACACCAUGGGAGUGGUUUUACCAGAAGAAGUUAGGCCUAACCGUAAGGAGGGCGAUUACCACGGUAGGAUUCAUGACUGGGGUGUCGGGCAAGGUAA
rnacentral:rRNA from 1 species